UGGGGAAUAUUGCACAAUGGGCGCAAGCCUGAUGCAGCCAUGCCGCGUGUAUGAAGAAGGCCUUCGGGUUGUAAAGUACUUUCAGUCGGGAGGAAGGUGGUAAGGUUAAUAACCUUGGCAAUUGACGUUACCGACAGAAGAAGCACCGGCUAACUCCGUGCCAGCAGCCGCUGUAAUACGGAGGGUGCAAGCGUUAAUCGGAAUUACUGGGCGUAAAGCGCACGCAGGCGGUUGAUUGAGUCAGAUGUGAAAUCCCCGGGCUUAACCCGGGAAUUGCAUCUGAUACUGGUCAGCUAGAGUCUUGUAGAGGGGGGUAGAAUUCCAUGUGUAGCGGUGAAAUGCGUAGAGAUGUGGAGGAAUACCGGUGGCGAAGGCGGCCCCCUGGACAAAGACUGACGCUCAGGUGCGAAAGCGUGGGGAGCAAACAGG
rnacentral:rRNA from 1 species